CCUACGGGAGGCAGCAGUGGGGAAUAUUGCUCAAUGGGGGAAACCCUGAUGCAGCGACGCCGCGUGAAGGAAGGAGUAUUUCGGUCUGUAAACUUCUAUCAGCAGGGAAGAAAAUGACGGUACCUGACUAAGAAGCCCCUGCUAACUACGUGCCAGAAGCCGCGGUAAUACGUAGGGGGCAGGCGUUAUCCGGAUUUACUGGGUGUAAAGGGAGCGUUGGCGGUUAUGCAAGUCACAAGUGAAAGCCCGCAGCUCAACUGCGGAACUGCUUUUGAAACUGUAUGACUAGAUUGCAGGAGAGGUGAGAGGAAUGCGUAGUGUAGCGGUGAAAUGCGUAGAUAUUAGGAGGAACACCAGUGGCGAAGGCGGCUUACGAGACUGUAAAUGACGCUGAGGCUCGAAAGCGUGGGGAGCAAACAGGAUUAGAUACCCUAGUAGUC
rnacentral:rRNA from 1 species